CUUUUUACAUUAACUAAUUAUACAAAAAACAAUGGUUAGCUUUAAGAACUUUUCUCUAAUUUUCUCACUUCUCCUCAUCACUGCCUUUCUCUGCUUCAGCACUACCGAUGCCACGUCUAGGAGACUCUAUGCUGCAGUUGAGGGAGGAAAAAGUACUUCAGUCCCACCAACCACCCCUUAUUUAAGAAGCCUCUUACAAUGGCGUCCGGUUUCACCACCCUCGCGGGUUCCAGGCCAUCCAUCACCACGAGGGCCAGGUUGCUGUUGAGCUUCAACACUGUAACAAAAGUGAAGUAAGCUUGGAAGUGAAACAAAGAAAUAUAUAUACUCUCUAA